GCCGGGGUGGUGGAACUUGGUAGACACAAGGGACUUAAAAUCCCUUGGGCCAUGUGCCCGUGCCGGUUCGAGUCCGGCCCUCGGCA
rnacentral:tRNA from 1 species